rnacentral:lncRNA from 1 species
UUCAUGGCUCACAAGCCCAAAAUAUUUACUAUCUGGCCCUUUACAGAAAAAGUUUGUCAACCCCUUACCAAAAGGAAAAUAAUAACCUGCUUCUGUCAUUUGUGCUUAACCUAAUUCAAAUAUUCAGCUUUGUCAUGCGUGUCCUUUUCCUCUUGCAGAUGUUUCUGUCAUGGGUAAUAUAUUAUUAGUUGUCAACAUAAAUAAUGAACCUUUUCAAGCGAUAGGUUGCUAACACGUGUUUCAUCAGCCACUACUACAGUUCAGUGAUAAGGUACUGAGAGCUGGUGGAAAGAAAUUCUCCUGCCCAUCUGCCCAGCCUAGAAGAGGAGGUAUUGCUCUACUGCAGUUGAUUUCUUUUUCUUUCUUUCUUUCUCUUUCUUUCUUUCUUUUUUAAGUCUAGUUGAUCAAAAUUGCUCAAUGAUGGCAGGUUUCUGUAACCAUUCUUGCGUUGAAGUAAUGUGGCACACAAUGAGUCCAUGACAGGUUUUGUUCUAAGUAAAUAUUAGUGUCCACUCACUAUGGAAUUUGCAAGUGAAAUUUCCAAAAUGUUCAUAUUGUUUUUCUACAAUACUGGGAUCAUUCACUCUCAGGCUGGUGCUGGUACCACCACCCUGUCCCCAGGAGGCUACUAGAUGUGUUUACAGUUUACAGUCCAGACCCAUGUCCAGGGGGUCUUUCCUUGUUUGCCUCCCAUCUGUUUCCAUGUGGCCAGGAGCCACUCUGCUCACCAGCUGCAAUUCACUCCAGGUUAAUUUCUGCUCCAUCAAAUUAAGACUCCAGGGGAGAAAAAAAUUAUUUCCCCUGGCUCUGAGUCUCCAGUUUUUUGGAGACCUGAGAGACCCU